rnacentral:misc_RNA from 1 species
GAUGAAGAACGUAGCGAAAUGCGAUACUUGGUGUGAAUUGCAGAAUCCCGUGAACCAUCGAGUCUUUGAACGCAAGUUGCGCCCGAAGCCAUUAGGCCGAGGGCACGCCUGCCUGGGUGUCACACACCGUUACCCUCGCGCCAACGUCCAUCGUUGGCCGCGGCGCGGGGCGUGCGCUGACCUCCCGCGAGCGGGGUCUCGUGGUUGGUUGAAAAUCGAGUUCGCGGUCGAGGGUGCCGUGAUGAAAUGGUGGAUGGGCGACGCCCGAGGCCAAUCACGCGCGACUCUGUCCCGCUCGGACUCCUGGACCCCUUCGGCGUCUCCGGACGCUCUUUGGCGAGACCUCAGGUCAGGCGGGGCUACCCGCUGAGUUUAAGCAUAUCAAUAAGCGGAGGA